AUUGAACGCUGGCGGCAGGCUUAACACAUGCAAGUCGAGCGGAGAUGAGGUGCUUGCACCUUAUCUUAGCGGCGGACGGGUGAGUAAUGCUUAGGAAUCUGCCUAUUAGUGGGGGACAACAUUCCGAAAGGAAUGCUAAUACCGCAUACGCCCUACGGGGGAAAGCAGGGGAUCUUCGGACCUUGCGCUAAUAGAUGAGCCUAAGUCGGAUUAGCUAGUUGGUGGGGUAAAGGCCUACCAAGGCGACGAUCUGUAGCGGGUCUGAGAGGCUGCUCCGCCACACUGGGACUGAGACACGGCCCAGACUCCUACGGGAGGCAGCAGUGGGGAAUAUUGGACAAUGGGCGGAAGCCUGAUCCAGCCAUGCCGCGUGUGUGAAGAAGGCCUUUUGGUUGUAAAGCACUUUAAGCGAGGAGGAGGCUACCUGGAUUAAUACUCUAGGAUAGUGGACGUUACUCGCAGAAUAAGCACCGGCUAACUCUGUGCCAGCCGCCGCAGUAAGAC
rnacentral:rRNA from 1 species